GGGUCAGCAUCAGUUUUGGUCGGUGGAAAAAGGUGUAGAGAACGUGGCAUCUUCGGGUGUGUUAUAGCUCUGCAUUGGAUACGCCGGCUGGGACUGAGGAACUCAGCACGCCGCAAGGCCGGGUACUUGUACCUCGUACGUGCUUAGGAUGCUGGCAUAAUGGCUUUAAUCGA
rnacentral:rRNA from 1 species